AAAAGACACUAUGUUGUGGAGAAUUAUUGGUGCUGUGAAACUGGCAACACUGACUUGAGAGGGUAGAUAAUUUAAUUGUUUGAAAAGAGGAAAGAAGUCAGUUGGAAGGUGGAUGCUUUGCAGACUCGUGCAUUGUACACUAGAAUCAUUGAAGCUGCUCAACAAAUGACUGCUGUCAAUAGGUGAUCAUUCGCGGCAAAGUAAUAUCCCCAUCCCAACAUUCUUCAAUGAUUCUAAUCGCCUACGGAUUAGUUAACAAUGGAGCCCAUAGCACGUAGAUUGGAAUUGUUGGAAGAGGAGAGUGCGAAAUGGCGAAAACAUUGUGAAGAUGAAGAGCGGAGAAUAGAAGAGGAAUAUCAGCGGAGUUUGGCCGAAAUUCGGGAAAGAUUCCGAAAAGCUUCUAAAGCAAUUGAGUUGGAGUUUGCACCUAGGAAGGAAGAAGUAAAAAGGCAAUUUAGUGAUGAAGGUUUGAGAGAAAAAUCUGCCUGCACUACUUCUCAACCAGAAGCAAACAAUCGUCAUCCAGCUUCUACAGUACCAUCGAAUUGUAUUGUUCAAAAACGUACGAUUGGUGUUAUGAAUGUUGUGCGGAAGGCAGUAAAAGCGCAAAACAAGGGCGAGAAUGAUCAAAACGAUUGGAUCAGUGUAUGGAAUUUACCUACCUACAAACAUAUUGAGAUCAGAGGAAAUCACCGGGCUAGGCAAUCACAGUUUGGAAGGUACAUCAGCAGAGAAACAAACGCAGUGUCGAAAAAACAAAGGUUAUUUGCGAUAACGGUGUUUGAAGUUUAUGAUCCCGGCGGAAUAUUAUAUGAGCAAUUCGGACGGAGAAAUAACAAUGAACGGCAGUUCGACAGUGCUGACUGUGGGUCGCCAGUAUUGUGUUGUUUCCAGAUUAUCGCCAUUCCAUGUGAAUACAGCAAUCACUGUUCAGACCGGUUACCAGUUUCACGGGAGGGAGACUGUUGUGGAGAAUUAUUGGUGCUGUGAAACUGGCAACACUGACUUGAGAGGGUAGAUAAUUUAAUUGUUUGAAAAGAGGAAAGAAGUCAGUUGGAAGGUGGAUGCUUUGCAGACUCGUGCAUUGUACACUAGAAUCAUUGAAGCUGCUCAACAAAUGACUGCUGUCAAUAGGUGAUCAUUCGCGGCAAAGUAAUAUCCCCAUCCCAACA